AGAAUCAACGCUGGCGGCGUGCCUAACACAUGCAAGUCGCACGAGAAAGGGACUUCGGUCCUGAGUAAAGUGGCGCACGGGUGAGUAACACGUGAAUUAUCUACCUCCGAGUGGGGAAUAACUGAGAGAAAUCUUAGCUAAUACCGCAUAACACUUACGAGUCAAAGCAGCAAUGCGCUUGGAGAGGAGUUCGCGGCAGAUUAGUUAGUUGGCGGGGUAAUGGCCCACCAAGACGAUGAUCUGUA
rnacentral:rRNA from 1 species